AAAGUUUUUUUAAAUGGACAAAAGAUCUGAAUGGACGGUUCUUGAAAUUAAAGACGUGCAAAUGGCCAAUAAUCACAUGAAAAAAGGUUCAACAUUAGUCAUUGAGGAAAUUCAAAUCAAAGCCACAAUGAGACACCACCUCACACCCACGAGGAUGGAGAAAAGCAAAACUGUGACAAGUGACAAGUGCCGGUGAGGGUGUGGAGGGAUCAGAACCCCCGUGCGCUGCUGGAUGGGGCGCACAGCCGCUGCGGAAACGGUUUGGCAGUUCUUCCAAAUACUGAACCCAGAGGAGCCCAGAUCCAUCGGUUCCCCUCCCAGGUACGGCCCAGGAGGACUGAAAACACAUCGAAGCAGAAGCCUGUACGUGAACGUCCACAAUCGCAUUAAUCAUCACAGCUCCAAGGUGGAAACAACCCCAAAGUCCAUCAACAGACACACAGAGUCCAGAAAGCAGAGUCUACUUCACAGGAUGCUGCUGGACCACACGGCACAGGCCUGCGAGUGGACUGCAGCCUCCCUCAUGGUUUUCGUAACACUGGCUUUUGUCUGGCUCACUUCAUCGUAAGAAUAAUAUCAUGUAAUACGUAUAACAUGCAAAA